rnacentral:rRNA from 1 species
UACAGAGGGUGCAAGCGUUAAUCGGAAUUACUGGGCGUAAAGCGCACGUAGGCGGUUUUUUAAGUCAGAUGUGAAAGCCCCGGGCUCAACCUGGGAAUUGCAUUUGAAACUGGGAAACUAGAGUGUGUGAGAGGGGGGUAGAAUUCCAAGUGUAGCGGCGAAAUGCGUAGAGAUUUGGAGGAAUACCAGUGGCGAAGGCGGCCCCCUGGCACAACACUGACGCUCAGGUGCGAAAGCGUGGGGAGCAAACAGG